rnacentral:tRNA from 2 species
UGCCCAAGUAGUGUAGUGGCCUAUCAUGCAGCCCUGUCACGGCUGCGACUCGGAUUCGAAUUCCGACUUGGGCGU